GAAUCUUGCGCAAUGGACGAAAGUCUGACGCAGCCACGCCGCGUGCAGGAAGACACCCCUCAGGGGCGUAAACUGCUUUUAUACGGGAAGAACUCCCUCCUCGGGAGGGUCUGACGGUACCGUACGAAUAAGGACCGGCUAACUCCGUUCCAGCAGCCGCGGUAAUACGGAGGGUCCAAGCGUUGUCCGGAAUCACUGGGUGUAAAGGGUGUGUAGGCGGGCCUACAAGUCAGAGGUGAAAGCCCCCGGCCUAACCGGGGAACUGCCUUUGAGACUGUAGGUCUUGAGUCCUGGAGGGGUCACUAGAAUUCGUGGUGUAGCGGUGAAAUGCGUAGAUAUCACGAGGAAUACCAGAGGCGAAGGCGGGUGACUGGACAGGUACUGACGCUGAGGCACGAAAGCGUGGGGAGCAAACAGG
rnacentral:rRNA from 1 species